GCAUCAGUGGUUCAGUGGUAGAAUGCUCGCCUGCCACGCGGUUGUUGGGUUCGAUUCCCGGCCGAUGCA